AUUGAACGCUGGCGGUAGGCCUAACACAUGCAAGUCGAACGGCAGCACAGUAAGAGCUUGCUCUUACGGGUGGCGAGUGGCGGACGGUUGAGGAAUACAUCGGAAUCUACUUUUUCGUGGGUGAUAACGCAGGGAAACUUACGCUAAUACCGCAUACGACCUAAGGGUGAAAGCAGGGGAUCUUCGGACCUUGCGCGAUUGAAUGAGCCGAGGUCGGAUUAGCUAGUUGGUGGGGUAAAGGCCCACCAAGGCGACGAUCCGUAGCUGGUCUGAGAGGAUGAUCAGUCACACUGGAACUGAGACACGGUCCAGACUCCUACGGGGGGCAGCAGUGGGGAAUAUUGGACAAUGGGCGAAAGCCUGAUCCAGCCAUGCCGCGUGUGUGAAGAAGGUCUUCGGAUUGUAAAGCCCUUUAAGUGGGGAGGAAGGGCAGUAAGUUAAUACCUUGCUGUUUUGACGUUACCAACAGAAUAAGCACCGGCUAACUUCGUG
rnacentral:rRNA from 1 species